UGGGGAAUAUUGCACAAUGGGCGCAAGCCUGAUGCAGCCAUGCCGCGUGUAUGAAGAAGGCCUUCGGGUUGUAAAGUACUUUCAGCGGGGAGGAAGGGAGUAAAGCUAAUACCUUUGCUUAUUUACGUUACCCGCAGAAGAAGCACCGGCUAAUUCCGUGCCAGCAGCCGCGGUAAUACGGAGGGUGAAAGCGUUAAGCGGAAUGACUUGGCGUAAAGCGCACGCAGGCGGUUUGUUAAGUCAGAUGUGAAAUCCCCAGGCUCAACCUGGGAACUGCAUCUGAUACUAACAAGCUUGAGUCUCGUAGAGGGUGGUAGAAUUCCAGGUGUAGCGGUGGAAUGCGUAGAGAUCUAGAAGAAUACCGGUGGCGAAGGCGGCCCCCUGGACAAGGACUGACGCUCAGGUACGAAAGCGUGGGGAGCAAACAGG
rnacentral:rRNA from 1 species